rnacentral:rRNA from 1 species
AUGCAAGGCGCACAAUCAAGAUUGCGAGAGCGCAUCGAGAACAUGUCCAUCGACAUUCGUCACUCCGAAGCAAGGAAAAGGGACUACAUCGACAAGAAGCUUUCCGCACAUAAAGAGGAGCAAGAUGCAAGGAUGGAGGAGAUUAGAGCCUUGAUCAAGUCUUCUUCCCCUUCGUCAUCUUCAAGGUGGCGACAUUCAAGCCACAAGUCUUCGAAGCGCGAAAAAGAUGCAAGUGCAAAUCGUCCUCGUCCACAUCUACAUGGCGACCACCAUCACGUUCGUGAUCAACAUCGUCAUGAAGGGCAAGUCACCUCCAAGCAUCAUGUGCACGACGACGACGAACGACAUCUUCUACGAGCUCAAGCACGACAACAACAUCAUCAUCAUGAAGAUGCUCCACAAGCGCAAAUGCACAAGUCCCAACAAGCCCUACUUCACGCCAAGUCCAAGCUUCAUGAGCACAAAAGAAGACCGCGAGACGACCACUACCAAGACGGUGCUACGACUACAACAACCACUUCGGCAUCUUCGCCAAGUGCUAUCAAGGCAUCUUCGCCUUUGGACGUACAACAUCUUUGCCUACUUCUGACGGGUAUGCCUACAUCGACUUCAUCAAGUCCAAGGCUGCUACCUACGAGUGAGGGCGACACUUCCACCUUUGGAAGCCCCUCAAGGAUGAUGGCCGAGCAUGGGAAACUCCCUUCGGUCAUGGAGACGAGCUACGAGGUGCCACAUCAUUUGGGCCUCCAACACCAAGACGGUGACAAGACAGUCGAGCAAGGGCCAUCCCCUUCGACUACGGCGACGAGCAGGAACCUCUUCAACAACAUGAAGACGACGCCCACAUUGGACUCAUACUCCGAGUCAAGCUAUGCGACCGCGCAUGGAGACACUUGCACCAACAUCUCUCUGACACCCACAUAUGUUGAGAUGCCCCAUUUGCCAUGUGAGGAGAGCCACCACCACAUGAGUGACAUGAGUGACUCCACCAUACGUGACAUUGAGAGCAUUUCCUAUGAGAGGAUGAGUGUGACCACCACUAGCCCCACACAUGAGAGCAUGCCACACAUCCUAUGUGAGGUUGAGUGCCAUUUGAGUGACUCCACCAACCAUAUGAGUGAGAGCAUCCUUGAGGGAGUGAGUGAGCCACAACACUUAGUGAGUGAGGUAGUUGACACGGCAUGUGAGGCCACUAUGAUUUCUAACGAAUUAACCUCUACUCCUAGUGUGUUUUCUUCUUUGGUGCUAGGUCUCCUACAUGACGACCCGUCUAUCCUCGACGAGUCCAUCCCUCCAAUGGAGAUGACGAUGGCCAUGGUGGACAAUGAUGCACCCCCACAUGGUUCCAUCAAGAUGAAGAUGACAACAAGACGAUCUUCAACACCUCACCUACAACACAUGAGCGACGCUCCAACGGUAACAUAG